rnacentral:rRNA from 1 species
AGUGAACGCUGGCGGUAGGCCUAACACAUGCAAGUCGAACGGCAGCACAGUAAGAGCUUGCUCUUACGGGUGGCGAGUGGCGGACGGGUGAGGAAUACAUCGGGAUCUACUUUUUCGUGGGGGAUAACGUAGGGAAACUUACGCUAAUACCGCAUACGACCUACGGGUGAAAGCAGGGGAUCUUCGGACCUUGCGCGAUUGAAUGAGCCGAUGUCGGAUUAGCUAGUUGGCGGGGUAAAGGCCCACCAAGGCGACGAUCCGUAGCUGGUCUGAGAGGAUGAUUAGCCACCCUGGGACUGAGACACGGUCCAGACUCCUACGGGAGGCAGCCGUGGGGAAUAUUGGACAAUGGGCGCAAGCCUGAUCCAGCCAUACCGCGUGGGUGAAGAAGGCCUUCGGGUUGUAAAGCCCUUUUGUUGGGAAAGAAAAGCAGCAGGUUAAUACCCCGCUGUUCUGACGGUACCCAAAGAAUAAGCACCGGCUAACUUCGUG